CAGUACCUUUCAACUCCCCUGUAUCUUUCACAGCCAAACUAAUUGGCUUAUGGUAAGGGGGAGUGAUUUUGCUCCUUUCCUCCCAGGGAUUAUUUGACAAUGUCUGGAGACAUUUUUGGUUGUUCCAACUUGGGGAGUGGGCACUGUUUCUGGCAACUAGUGUUAUCUAUACCUGUCAUUUUUUUAUUGCUUCCCAUUUUUUCCUUAGCACACUGAAGUCUGAUGUCCACUAGCACAUCUGACUUUUUAAUUUAAUUAAAUUUUUUUUGCCUUUUUAAUUUUUAUUCUUCACUCAUCUCAUCAGUAAGCACCACUUGAUCCUACUAGCUAUUUCCUCCAUUAGAGGUGUUUUUUUUUUUUUUCCCUUGGUUUCUGUGACACCACACUACACUUGGUGAUUUCUCAAGCUCUUCCUUCCUGGUCUUUGUUGCAUAUAGACAAGUAAUUUAGGCUGAUUCUCAAAGAUCUAAUGAAUCAUAUCUACUGUGCGAGGAAAGCUGCCUGUGGCACUGAUCUAAAUGAUAAAUGGAGAGAAGUCAAAAGAGACAAGGAAAGGAAUAUGCAGAAGCAAGAGGAUGUUUGGGAAAAGACUGUAAGUCAUGUAAGUGCUUUGGGCAAGGCCUGGUUGGGGAGUAGUCUUUAGUCCUGGCUGACAUCUUCA
rnacentral:lncRNA from 12 species